AAUAAGUGCAGUUUUGCACUGUUCAUAUCCAACAUUUGACCAUUCAUCUUAUUUGAAAUUUUUUUAUGAUUAAUAUUUUUAUUGUUAUUAGAUGAUAAAAUAUGAAUAGUAUUUUAUGUGUGAUUAAUCUUUUAUAAUUUUUUUAAAUAAGACAAAUGGUCAAACGUUGAACACGGAUAUCCAUGGCUGCACUUAUU
rnacentral:pre_miRNA from 1 species